rnacentral:rRNA from 1 species
GAUGAACGCUAGCUACAGGCUUAACACAUGCAAGUCGAGGGGAAACGGCAUUGAGUGCUUGCACUCUUUGGACGUCGACCGGCGCACGGGUGAGUAACGCGUAUCCAACCUUCCCAUUACUGUGGGAUAACCUGCCGAAAGGCAGACUAAUACCGCAUAGUCUUCGAUGACGGCAUCAGAUUUGAAGUAAAGAUUUAUCGGUAAUGGAUGGGGAUGCGUCUGAUUAGCUUGUUGGCGGGGUAACGGCCCACCAAGGCUACGAUCAGUAGGGGUUCUGAGAGGAAGGUCCCCCACAUUGGAACUGAGACACGGUCCAAACUCCUACGGGAGGCAGCAGUGAGGAAUAUUGGUCAAUGGACGGAAGUCUGAACCAGCCAAGUAGCGUGCAGGAUGACGGCCCUAUGGGUUGUAAACUGCUUUUGUAUGGGGAUAAAGUUAGGGACGUGUCCCUAUUUGCAGGUACCAUACGAAUAAGGACCGGCUAAUUCCGUGCCAGCAGCCGCGGUAAUACGGAAGGUCCAGGCGUUAUCCGGAUUUAUUGGGUUUAAAGGGAGCGUAGGCUGGAGAUUAAGUGUGUUGUGAAAUGUAGACGCUCAACGUCUGAAUUGCAGCGCAUACUGGUUUCCUUGAGUACGCACAACGUUGGCGGAAUUCGUCGUGUAGCGGUGAAAUGCUUAGAUAUGACGAAGAACUCCGAUUGCGAAGGCAGCUGACGGGAGCGCAACUGGCGCUUAAGCUCGAAGGUGCGGGUAUCAAACAGG